rnacentral:lncRNA from 1 species
GUCAAUAUUUCCUUGGGGAACCUGAGCUUCAUCUGUACUUGCUUCUUCAAAAUUAAUACUUUUACACUGUCUUCCUGAGUCAUCCACACAAUGUUCUCUUAAAAAGAAAAACACAAAUAUUGUACCUAUGAAAAGCUUAAUAAAGAAAUUGUUUAAAUUUGUUACUGGCAUUGUAUUUUUUUCACAUUUGAUACAGUUUCUUUUACUGGCUUUUCAGUAAUGAAAUUGUUACCAAUGAGAUAUUACCAGUGAGAUAUAACCAAUCUGGAUUAGCCUCUGCAUGGAAUCAAUGUCAAACUUCUCCUAGUUCAAAAACUUACUGUAGCUCCUCACCACUCUGCUCUACUACAUUUAUCUUCCACUAUUUCUUUUGUGAAAAUUAAAUAAAAGAGCUAUGAAAGUACCUGGUAAAAUAGUAAAAUAAUACUAUGUCUUUUCCACAACUUUAUGAACUACUGAGGGCCAGGAUCAGUCCUUGCAUUCUUUCCGCAAGGAGGAUAUAAUUAGUACCUAAAUAACAGGUUUUUUUUUGGUAAAAUAUAGCUACUUACUGGGUUCUCUGGCUUAUAUGAAUCAGAGAAGAUCUAAAAGAUGAAAAUGUAUAUUUCUAAAGUAUACCAAAACAACAAAAAUAAAAAGGCAAAACCAUACCCAUUUUCAUACUUAAGAUAAUAAAGAACUGCUUUAAAUAGACAUAUUUAUUUGGUAGUAAAGAUAUGGAAAUCAUUGCAAAUAUCUCAAAGGCUUUAGGAUACUGGCUCUCUGAAAAUAAGACAAAGCGAUUUUUUACAAUGUUUGUAACCUUGUCAAUCAUGACCACCAAAUAACCAAUAUGGGUAUGCCUCUUUAAAAAAAAUCAAUUUGCUCACGCCUGUAAUCCCAGCACUUUGGGAGGCCGAGGCGGGUGGAUCACAA